UACGUAGGGUGCAAGCGUUAAUCGGAAUUACUGGGCGUAAAGCGUGCGCAGGCGGUGAUGUAAGACAGAUGUGAAAUCCCCGGGCUCAACCUGGGAACUGCAUUUGUGACUGCAUCGCUGGAGUACGGCAGAGGGGGAUGGAAUUCCGCGUGUAGCAGUGAAAUGCGUAGAUAUGCGGAGGAACACCGAUGGCGAAGGCAAUCCCCUGGGCCUGUACUGACGCUCAGUGCACGAAAGCGUGGGGAGCGAAACAAGG
rnacentral:rRNA from 1 species